rnacentral:misc_RNA from 1 species
GAUGAAGAACGUAGCGAAAUGCGAUACGUAAUGUGAAUUGCAGAAUUCAGUGAAUCAUCGAAUCUUUGAACGCAUAUUGCGCUCUCUGGUAUUCCGGAGAGCAUGCUUGUUUGAGUAUCAGUAAACACCUCAACUUCCAUAUCUUUUUUGAAAUGGGAGUUGGACUUAAGUGAUCCCAACGCUUUUCCUCACCGAAAAGUGGCGGGUUACUUGAAAUGCAGGUGCAGCUGGACUUUUCUCUGAGCUAUAAGCAUAUCUAUUUAGUCUGCCUAAAAAACAGAUUAUUACCUUUGCUGCAGCUAACAUAAAGGAGAUUAGUUCUUGUGCUGACUGAUGCAGGAUUCACAAAGACAGCUUCGGCCGACUUUGUAAACUCGAUCUCAAAUCAAGUAAGACUACCCGCUGAACUUAAGCAUAUCAAUAAGCGGAGGA